rnacentral:rRNA from 1 species
CCAGACUCCUACGGGAGGCAGGAGUCGAGAGGCUUCGGCAAUGGGGGAAACCCUGACCGAGCGACGCCACGUGGGUGAUGAAGAUCCUCGGAUCGUAAGACCCUGUCAGGUGGGAGGAAAUACCAUUCGGUUAACACCCGAAUGGCUUGACAGGACCACCAAAGGAAGCUCCGGCCAAGUCAGGGCCAGCAGCCGGGGUAAGACGGGGGGAGCAAGCGUGGUUCGGAUUCAUUGGGGGUAAAGAGCUCGUAGGCCGCUCUGUAAGUCGGAAGUGAAGGACCACGGGUCAACCGUGGAAACGCUUUCGAAACUGCGGAGCUUGAGGCCGGGAGAGGAGAUCGGAAUUCCUGGCGUAGCGGUGAAAUGGGUAGAUAUCAGGAGGAACACCCGUGGCGAAGGCGGAUCUCUGGACCGGUUGUGACGCUGAGGAGCGAAAGCUAGGGGAGCAAACAGGAUUAGAUACCCGGGUAACCCUAGCUGUAAACGAUGGGCACUAGGUGUGGGGGGAUCGACCCCUUCCGUGCCGCAAUUAACGCAUUAAGUGCCCCGCCUGGGAAGUACGACCGCAAGGUUGAAACUCAAAGGAAUUGACGGGGGCCCGCACAAGCGGUGGAGCAUGUGGAUUAAUUCGAUGAUACGCGAAGAACCUUACCGGGGCUUGACAUGCAUCAGAACAUUUGUGGAAACACGGAUGGGCCCUCACGGGACUGUUGCACAGGUGCUGCAUGGCUGUCAUCAACUCGUGUCGUGAGAUGUUGGGUUAAGUCCCGCAACGAGCGCAACCCUUGUCGUUUAGUUGACAAAAGGUCAAGCUGGGCACUCUAGAGAGACUGCCGGUGAUAAACCGGAAGGAAGGUGGGGAUGACGUCAAGUCAUCAUGGCCCUUACGUCCCGGGCUAAACACGUGCUACAAUGGCCGGCACAAAGGGCUGCGAAACUCGCGAAAAGUGAGCGAAUCCA